rnacentral:rRNA from 1 species
UACGUAGGUGGCAAGCGUUAUCCGGAUUUAUUGGGUUUAAAGGGUGCGUAGGCGGGAUGCCAAGUCAGCGGUAAAAAUGCGGUGCUCAACGCCGUCGAGCCGUUGAAACUGGCGUUCUUGAGUGGGCGAGAAGUAUGCGGAACGCGUGGUGUAGCGGUGAAAUGCAUAGAUAUCACGCAGAACUCCGAUUGCGAAGGCAGCAUACCGGCGCCCUACUGACGCUGAGGCACGAAAGCGUGGGUAUCGAACAGG